GGGCCGGUAGUCUAGUCUGGUUAGGAUGCCGCUCUCACACAGCGGAGGUCCCAGGUUCGAAUCCUGGCCGGCCCA
rnacentral:tRNA from 1 species